rfam:Triticum aestivum genome assembly, contig: Triticum_aestivum_CS42_TGACv1_scaffold_425347_5BS
CUAGUACUCCCUCCAUUCGGAAUUACUUGUCACAAAAAAGGAUGUAUCUACAACUAAAAUACAUCUAGAUACAUUCAUUUCUUGGACGAGUAAUUCCGAAUGGUGGGAGUAGUAG